rnacentral:rRNA from 1 species
GUUUGAUCCUGGCUCAGAUUGAACGCUGGCGGAAUGCUUUACACAUGCAAGUCGAACGGCAGCACGGGUGCUUGCACCUGGUGGCGAGUGGCGAACGGGUGAGUAAUGCAUCGGAACGUACCGAGUAAUGGGGGAUAACGCAGCGAAAGUUGUGCUAAUACCGCAUACGCCCUGAGGGGGAAAGUGGGGGAUCGCAAGACCUCACGUUAUUCGAGCGGCCGAUGUCUGAUUAGCUAGUUGGUGGGGUAAAGGCCUACCAAGGCGACGAUCAGUAGCGGGUCUGAGAGGAUGAUCCGCCACACUGGGACUGAGACACGGCCCAGACUCCUACGGGAGGCAGCAGUGGGGAAUUUUGGACAUGGGGGCAACCCUGAUCCAGCCAUUCCGCGUGAGUGAAGAAGGCCUUCGGGUUGUAAAGCUCUUUCAGUUGGAACGAAACGGUACGCUCUAACAUAGCGUGCUAAUGACGGUACCGACAGAAGAAGCACCGGCUAACUACGUGCCAGCAGCCGCGGUAAUACGUAGGGUGCGAGCGUUAAUCGGAGUUACUGGGCGUAAAGCGUGCGCAGGCGGAUUGUUAAGCAAGAUGUGAAAUCCCCGGGCUUAACCCGGGAAUGGCAUUUUGAACUGGCAGUCUAGAGUGCGUCAGAGGGGGGUGGAAUUCCACGUGUAGCAGUGAAAUGCGUAGAUAUGUGGAGGAACACCAAUGGCGAAGGCAGCCCCCUGGGAUGACACUGACGCUCAUGUACGAAAGCGUGGGUAGCAAACAGGAUUAGAUACCCUGGUAGUCCACGCCCUAAACGAUGUCAACUGGUUGUUGGGUCUUUACUGACUCAGUAACGAAGCUAACGCGUGAAGUUGACCGCCUGGGGAGUACGGCCGCAAGGUUGAAACUCAAAGGAAUUGACGG